GCCAGCGCAUCUGGAUACCUUGUCCAAAGUACGAGAGCAGUAUGAGCGCAAACUGAUCACCGUCGAGACUCAGCUGGAGGCCGGGCAAGAGGCUCAAUUGGACGAGAUGCAGAAUGCGCAAGUGCUCUUAAAUAUGGCAAAAGAAGAGAUGGGGAAUGUGCAGAAAGCGUUCAAGGCCAUCCGCGAGCAGAGUUUACAGUGUACUUCUGCGAUAGAUAAUUUUGAUCACGUGCUGCAGAUUCGAAACG
rnacentral:ribozyme from 1 species